rnacentral:rRNA from 1 species
AGGACGAACGCUGGCGGCGUGCUUAACACAUGCAAGUCGAACGGGAUCCUUCGGGGUCUAGUGGCGAACGGGUGAGUAACACGUGAGCAACCUGCCCUUGGCUCUGGGAUAGCCUCCGGAAACGGGGAUUAAUACCGGACAUGACCUUCUCCCGCAUGGGGGAGGGUGGAAAGUUUUUCGGCCAGGGAGGGGCUCGCGGCCUAUCAGCUUGUUGGGGGGGUAACGCCCACCAAGGCGACGACGGGUAGCC